GUAGGUGAACCUGCGGAAGGAUCAUUAACACGUAUCCACGUAUCAACCAAUGUGAACUCGUUUUCAUUCUCCCUUGACCCUACAUGAAUUGAUAAUAGACAGAGAUCUAUAGAGGAGUCUCUUCGGAGCUCAUCUCUGUCUAUCAACUGAAUCCGUGAGAGAAAUUUAUUUCUUUUCAUGGACUCGACAAUUGGAGUAGGGUUGAGACUAAUUUCUGACGUGAGCAUAGCCACUCUCUGGGCCAGCUCCGUUGGAUGCCACUACUAUAACUUAUCUCACCCCCUUUUUUGCUAGUUGACUUUAUAUAUGUUCAUAGUGAGAGAGACGAGCGAAUGACUGUCACCAGCCGUAUUGCUCCCCCCUCUUCGAUCUUAUGACACGUUUAUUUAUUUGAACGUUAUUUAAAACAACUCUUAGCAAUGGAUAUCUUGGUUCUC
rnacentral:misc_RNA from 1 species